UACGAAGGGGGCUAGCGUUGCUCGGAAUCACUGGGCGUAAAGCGCACGUAGGCGGAUUGCUAAGUCAGGGGUGAAAUCCUGGAGCUCAACUCCAGAACUGCCUUUGAUACUGGCGACCUUGAGUCCGGGAGAGGUGAGUGGAACUGCGAGUGUAGAGGUGAAAUUCGUAGAUAUCAUUUGGAACGCCAAUGGUGAAAACAGGUAGCUGGGGAUGUGCUGACGCUGAGACACGAAAGCCAGGGGAGCAAACGGG
rnacentral:rRNA from 1 species